ACCCCGGGGAUAACAGGCUUAUCGCUCCCGAGCGUCCAUAGCGGCGGAGCGGUUUGGCACCUCGAUGUCGGCUCAUCACAUCCUGGGGCUGUAGGCGGUCCCAAGGGUUGGGCUGUUCGCCCAUUAAAGUGGUACGCGAGCUGGGUUCAGACCGGCGUGAGCCAGGUCGGUCCCUAUCUGCUGUGGGCGUUGCAUUAUUGAAAGGAUCUUUUCCUAGUACGAGAGGAUUGGAAAGGACUCACCCCUGGUGUGCCAGUUGGACCGCUCGGUCCAUCGCUGGGUAGCUAAGUGAGGCAGGGAUAACCGNNNNNNNNNNGGGAAGCCCCCCUAAAGAUGAGUAAUGCAUGUUCUUUAGAAUGAGAGACCCCCGGAAGACUACCGGGUUGAUAGGCCGCGUGUGUACGCAUAGAAAUAUGUUUAGCAAAGCGGUACUAACGGUCAAAGAUCUUGUCAUG
rnacentral:rRNA from 1 species